rnacentral:misc_RNA from 1 species
AAGUCGUAACAAGGUUUCCGUAGGUGAACCUGCGGAAGGAUCAUUACAGUUGGUUGUUUGGUUGUUUGGUUGAGGUUAUGGUUAUAAUGACAAUAGCCUUUCCAACAUACCACAUUCGCGCUUGUCUUGUUUCACAGAGUAAAGAUAUAUUACAAUCAGACAUAACUUUUAACAAUGGAUCUCUGGGCUCUU